ensembl:lncRNA
ACGAAUCUGCUGGAGACGUCACGUCCAAUCACACCGUACUUUCACAUUGUGCAUGUUGAGGCUCGGAGAGUGAGAACCGACUGUACAUUCACACUUUACACAAUGAAUCCACUCCACCCUGUGUGUGUGUGUGUGUGUGUGUGUGUGUGUGUGUGUGUGUGUGUGUAUGUGAGUGUGUGUGUGUGUGUAUGUGUGUGUGAGUGUUUGUGUGAGUGUGUGUGUGUGUAUGUGAGUGUGUGUGUGUGUGUAUGUGUGUGUGUGUGUGUGUGUGUAUGUGUGUGUGUGUGUGUAUGUGUGUGUGAGUGUUUGUGUGAGUGUGUGUGAGUGUUUGUGUGAGUGUGUGUGAGUAUCCUCCCAGCUUACAUAUGCACAUGUACCAGAAACUAGACGUACAACACACACACACACACACACACACACACACACACACACACACACACAUAUACAGUCUCACGUGUUUCAACACACCCAUCACCCAGCUUCCCGUCCAGCUUCUUCUUUUUCUCUAAACUUCGGCAAAAUAGAACAGAGUGUGUUCACUGCAGUGUCAGGUGCAGAGAAACACACACACACACACACACACACACACACACACUGAGAUAUAGAUGAUAAUCGAAGUGAGAUGAAAAGAGGAGGAGCAGGAGGAGGAUAUAUGGGUCAUCGAUAGACGUGUGAGACGUUUUGUGACAGAAGCGUGUCAGACUCUCGGCUCAGUGGGACGACACUCGCUCAGGAAGGUGCACUGAACAGGAAAACGAGAGAGAGAGAGAGCGAGAGCGCGAGAGAGAGCGAGACGGAGGGAGAAAGAGGAAGAGAAGGGUUGUGUCUUUCCGGCCUAGAUUAAUGCGAGUUUAACCUCAGAGAACAGCCACAGCACGGAGAAAAGAACAGAACUGAGACUGAGAUGAAGAGAUGUCAUGGUUAUGAAUAAAAAGUCAUCGUGUUUAAAUCUCUGCUGAAGAAACUAAAGCUGCAGAUGUUUAUGAUUUUCGGGACAUGCUGAAGCUCACGGCACGUACCUGAAUCGAACAUAUCCAAUCGCGGUACAAGAAAAAGCAAAAAAUAAAUAAAAAGCUCUUCACCGAGGUGCUGCAGUGAAACAGGAUGUACCUGCUUUUCAUCUCUCUGGUCUUCUCGCUAGCUCUCGGACCUGACGUCAGGCUCCUGAACGCAGAGGAGUCCACGAGCAUGCCGAGUAAAGAGAGCACGGUCUUCCCGCAGGUGACCGGAUCGAGAUCAGGUGAAAACUCUCCCACUGAGCCUGAGGAAACAACCAUGAAGAACAUGGAGUAUGAUAACAACAACUUCUCCACCACUGAAGGUCUAACAACUGAGACUGGGAAUGUGCCGCAAACAUCAGACGGACGCACAGUGAUGUCCAUUCCAGAGCUUCAGACUACUUCAGAGCUUCAGACCACGUCAGUGCAUCUGACUCCAGAGCCUGCAACCAUUCCUGCGACCGUCAUGACGACGAAUGAGCUCACCACUCCGGCUGCUCCUUCCGAACCCACGUCUCAGCCCGUGACGGAGAAGACCACUAUGACAAACAUCAUCAGCACUAAGCCUCCUGAGACCCCAUCUCAAACCAUCCCUGAUACAACAGCCUUAAGCACAAAACCACCAGUUUUCACACCUACACCUGCUUCUGUUGAGAAAGUGGAGACCACCGACACUUCUCCAACAACCAUGCCCACACCUAGCACCACCACCACCAUCACCACCACCACCACCACCACCAUGCCCACCACCCCCCUCAUCACCACCAUGCCCACCACCCCCCUCAUCACUACCCAGGGGCAGGCCACCAACCUGAACCUUGUACUGUCUACAGAGGGUGAAGGGUCCAGGACGGGAACUAAAUGGUUAAUCAUCGCUGUCAUAGCGUUGGUCAUUUUCGGCAUAUUAACGAUUUUUUGCGUCACCAUCCUCAUCAAACGCAAGCAGAAGCGAAGUGGCAAGCAGAGCUUCGGCUACACGAACGGACAGAGGUCCAAGAAGAAGAAAGGCACGGAGGACAACGUCUGGGCGGGGCCCGUGGAAUUAGGAGGCGGGGAUUGCGAGGCUCCAGAUGAAGGCGAUGUGCAAGGAGAGGAGAAGAAGACGGACGGGGGAGGGGAGGUGACGGGGCUCAGCACUUUCGUGCCUUCGGAGGAGAACGGAGGCGUGGGGCGGCCGGGGUCACCCGAGGUCGGGAAGUGGGAGGAGAAAGAACCCUUGCUGUACAUUGACGAAGAAGCGACGCAGAAAGGAAAGGAGGCGGGAGCGAGCGGGGACGCAGACGUGAAGGAGGCGGAGCCUAAUGGCGGAGAAACAUUCUGUCUCACCACGGCCGUGUGAAAGCUCCUCCCCUUUUCACAAACUGAUGAGUUCCAAAUAUUUCAGGUCACGCUCCUGUAAAAGAAAAAUGAGUGAUUAGAAGUCCUGAGGAAGGAAAGCCUGAGGCCGUGUGUGAUGGAGAGGAAGGGG